rnacentral:rRNA from 1 species
UACAGAGGGGGCAAGCGUUAUUCGGAAUUAUUGGGCGUAAAGGGCGCGUAGGCGGCUUGGCAAGUGGAUGGUGAAAUCCCUCGGCUUAACCGAGGAACUGCCGUCCAAACUGCUUCGCUUGAGACCGGGAGAGGUGAGUGGAAUUCCCAGUGUAGCGGUGAAAUGCGUAGAUAUUGGGAGGAACACCAGUGGCGAAGGCGGCUCACUGGACCGGUACUGACGCUGAUGCGCGAAAGCCAGGGGAGCGAACGGG